GUUGAGAGUUGAGGUAGCGGAGGACGUGGGUUGCCGUCGCGGUGCUGCGAGGUUGGAACGAUUGAAAUAAGAAGGGCCUAAAAAGGGAAAAAUAUUUGGAAUAGGUAUCUGACUGGCCCGCAUUUUUGUGAGACCGUAGAGAGGCCCUGAAACAGCAAUGAUCACUGACGUGCAGCUGGCAGUGUUUGUCAACCUGCUGGGAGUCUCCCUCUUUUUGCUGGUGGUUGCAUACCAUUAUGUUGCAGCCAACAACCCUAAGCAUGCCUAAUAACUGAUUGCUGGUUGCUGCGGCAGUGGAACUACUGCUGCGAGUCUCGGGGAAAUGCUCUACCCAUCUGCCACCGCACACAGCUCUGCACGCGGGCGCAUUCCGGUCGGUGUGCGCCAUUCCAUGUCACAUUUGGUGGGGUCCGUUUCAGUGAUACUUUGCUUAUGAUUGCAAAUAAAACGUGUGAAAACUG
rnacentral:lncRNA from 1 species